rnacentral:rRNA from 1 species
AUUGAACGCUAGCGGGAUGCCUUACACAUGCAAGUCGAACGGCAGCGCGGACUUCGGUCUGGCGGCGAGUGGCGAACGGGUGAGUAAUGUAUCGGAACGUGCCCAGUAGCGGGGGAUAACUACUCGAAAGAGUAGCUAAUACCGCAUACGCCCUACGGGGGGAAGGGGGGGAUCGCAAGACCUCUCACUAUUGGAGCGGCAGAUAUCGGAUUAGCUAGUUGGGGAGGUAAAGGCUCAGCAAGGCGACGAUCCGUAGCUGGUUUGAGAGGACGACCACGCACAUUGGGACUGAGACACGGCCCAGACUCCUACAGGAGGCAGCAGUGGGGAAUUUUAGACAAUGGGGGAGACCCUGAUCCAGCCAUUCCGGGUGUGGGAUGAAGGCCUUCGGGUUGUAAAGCACUUUUGGCAGGAAAGAAGUCGCACGGAUUAAUACUCUGUGUGGAUGACGGUACCUGCAGAAUAAGCACCGGCUAACUACGUGCCAGCCGCCGCCGUAA